GACGAACGCUGGCGGCGUGCCUAAUACAUGCAAGUCGAGCGGAAGUUGGAGAGCUUGCUCUUCAACUUUAGCGGCGGACGGGUGAGUAACACGUGGGCAACCUGCCCUGCAGAUCGGGAUAACUCCGGGAAACCGGUGCUAAUACCGAAUAGUUUUCGCCACCUCCUGGUGGCGUACGGAAAGACGGUUUCGGCUGUCACUGCAGGAUGGGCCCGCGGCGCAUUAGCUAGUUGGUGGGGUAACGGCCCACCAAGGCGACGAUGCGUAGCCGACCUGAGAGGGUGAUCGGCGACACUGGGACUGAGACACGGCCCAGACGCCUCCGGGAGGCAGCAGUAGGGAAUCUUCCGCAAUGGAUGAAAGUCUGACGGAGCAACGCCGCGUGAGUGACGAAGGUUUUCGGAUCGUAAAACUCUGUUGUGAGGGAAGAACAAGUACCAAUUAACUACUGGUACCUUGACGGUACCUCACCAGAAAGCCACGGCUAACUACGUGCCAGCCGCCGCCGUAACAC
rnacentral:rRNA from 1 species